GUGGGGGAUAUUGCACAAUGGGGGAAACCCUGAUGCAGCGACGCCGCGUGGAGGAAGACGGCCUUCGGGUUGUAAACUCCUGUCUUCAGGGACGAAACUGACGGUACCUGAGGAGGAAGCACCGGCUAACUACGUGCCAGCAGCCGCGGUAAUACGUAGGGUGCAAGCGUUGUCCGGAAUUACUGGGUGUAAAGGGAGCGUAGGCGGGUCAGCAAGUUGGAUGUGAAAUGUACCGGCUCAACUGGUAAACUGCAUUCAAAACUGUUGGUCUUGAGUGAAGUAGAGGCAGGCGGAAUUCCUAGUGUAGCGGUGAAAUGCGUAGAUAUUAGGAGGAACACCAGUGGCGAAGGCGGCCUGCUGGGCUUUUACUGACGCUGAGGCUCGAAAGCAUGGGGAGCAAACAGGA
rnacentral:rRNA from 1 species